CCGGAACACUAGCCCACCCUGUUGCCACCCGUUUCGUGAACGCCUCAAUAUACGUCGCUUGCGAAAUACCUUGUCAACGUAUCACCACGACUGGAGAUGGAGAUAGAAUAAUUAAUAUAUCAGAGAGCGGUAGCGUUACAUGCCACCCUGGUUAUGAAUACCUUAAUGCACAACCCGUGUGUAAUAGUGGAAGUACACAAAUUCCUCCCUGCACACCGGUGAAAUGUAAUGUACAAACAAUUGCUAAUGGUAUGACCGACAGGAAGGUAAUUCAAUUCCAGGAAACUGUCACCUAUUCUUGCCUUCACAAUCUAGCUGUGGUGGGUGUAGCCACGCAAAGUUGCAUGGCUGACAGAAAUCUGUCUUCCGUGCCG